GACGAACGCUGGCGGCGUGCAUAAUACAUGCAAGUCGAGCGGACUUUCAAUAAGCUUUAUUUUUGAAAGAUAGCGGCGUACGGGUGAGUAACACGUGGGCAACCUACCUGCAAGACGGGGAUAACUCCGGGAAACCGGGGCUAAUACCGGCUAAUAUCUUCCUUCUCAUGAAGGAAGGUUGAAAGGCGGCGCAAGCUUCCGCUUGCAGAGGUGCCCGCGGAGCAUUAGCUAGUUGUUGAGGUAACGGCUUACCAAGGCGACGAUGCGUAGCCGACCUGAAAGGGUGAUCGGCCACACUGGGACUGAGACACGGCCCAGACUCCUACGGGAGGCAGCAGUAGGGAAUCUUCCGCAAUGGACGAAAGUCUGACGGAGCAACGCCGCGUGAGCGAAGAAGGUCUUCGGAUCGUAAAGCUCUGUUGUCAGGGAAGAACAAGUACCGUUCGAACAGGGCGGUACCUUGACGGUACCUGACCAGAAAGCCACGGCUAACUACGUG
rnacentral:rRNA from 1 species